UAUACAUACUGCAGCCUAACUAGCUAGUUCUUCUUUCCCCUGUCUGAACCAAGGCUUGCAAAUGCCGGAUCCAGUUACUGCCAGUGCUGCUGUAGGAUGGGGCGUAUCCGCAGCAGGCUGGCUCAUCUCGCCUAUCAUUUCAAGGGUACUCAACAAAGGUUUCGCCCACCUCGACUUCGAUGCAGCGGAGAAGCUGAAGAUGCUUGAUGUACAAGUUCUACAACUGCAGCGCCUGAUGGAAGUAGCCGACGAGAGCACUUACAAGGCAAAGAUAUCUUGGAUGAUAUUGAGUAUCAGCGUCUCAAGAAGCAGGUCCAAGAUGGCAAGUCAGAUGGCAGUACGAUGGAUUCGCUGAAGAAGAAUCUACGGUCUGCAAUGCCGAGCUGCCUCCUAAAAGAUAAGAAGAGUGGCAAGACAAAAGUGGAAUUGAAGAAGAGCCUAGAGAGUAUAGAAAGUGCUAUAAGUGAUGCAUGUAACCUUUUGAAACAACUGAAGUUGACAGCUCUAAGUAGUGAUAAUGGGAGACCAGUUGUUGCUGCCAAUUCACAUCAUGCAGUCACUACUGGAGGUCCUCCGCCACGAGUAAUUGGCACUAGUAGAAAAAGGGUCAUACGUGAAGCCCAAUAGUGCCGGUUUGUAUUAGAGCCGGCACUAAUGUGUACAAUAGCACCGGUUCGUGGCGGCGAUCAAUAGCACCGGUUCGUGGCGAACCUUUAGUACCGGUUCAUAUGCCACGAACCGGUACUAAAGUGGAUGUGUCAGCCUGCGGUCAGGCUAUGGUCCCACCAUCACCAUUUAGUGCCGGUUCGUGGUACGAACCGGUACUAA